rfam:Eubacterium sp. CAG:274 genomic scaffold, scf82
UAUUUUCUUCAGGGAUUGGUGUAAUUCCAUACCGGUGGUAAAGCCCACGAGCCGUAAAAGGCAUGAUUCGGUGUAAUUCCGAAGCCGACAGUAAAGUCUGGAUGAAAGAAGAUUUUU